CACCGCCGCACCGUUUCUUCUCUCAUUCAUCCACAUCCUUGCCCCAAAUAUGGCAUCUCUUUUUUGGUGCAAAUGUUUGGUGUUAUUCACCGAUCUCACAUCACAAACGGGUCUGGCUAAUCAUUUUGGAGCAGACUAUAGCAUGUUGAUUGUUCAUGGCGUUUCAAGGGCUCAAUUGAGAAAGGAUGGUAUAUCUCAAACGCCUCGAUGAAACCCGCGGUUGGUGGUGUGUGAGGUAAACACACACCUAUUAUUGUUUCCUAGUUUGAUAACUGUAUAGUCGUCCUAUACAGGGUUGCCUACUUAACAAAAAAAGUAAACCCUAUGUUUGGUCCCCCAAAUUUUUUAGAUCCUCAUUUUGAAAUAUCAUGUAUUUAUAUAAGUAUAAUAACGAAUAUUUAUAUAUGCAAUUUGUUUAAUUUACCUACACAGAACAAUUGGAGUACGGCUUUUCUUCUAGAUAACAAUUGAAGCUUUUAAUUCUAUUGAAUUCAAAAUGAUUUGGCUUUUUGGUCAUAUUUUAACACUAUAUUUUUCAGAUCAACCCACAUAACCCUUAUUUCAAAUGUUUGAAUGUAUUAUUUACGUUGAACAAAACCAGUGGACUUGCCAACUUUCUAUUGACACUCUUAGGCUUGAUUUGCAAGUCGUUAGGUACAUCAGUGCACAGAAACUUGCACUCUAAGGAGCUUGAAGUGUCAUGUUGCCUGUUGUUUGAAGAGAACAUUUAAUAUUAUGAAUUUUAAAACAGUAUAGUUUUGGUUGUUUUCAAACAUUUACUUUUGC